rnacentral:rRNA from 1 species
CAGUAGCCGCGGUAAUACGAGGGGGGCAAGCGUUGUUCGGAAUUAUUGGGCGUAAAGGGUGCGUAGGCGGUUUGAUAAGUCAUCUGUGAAAUCUCUGGGCUCAACCCAGAGUCUGCAGGCGAAACUGUCGGGCUUGAGUAUGGGAGAGGUGAGUGGAAUUUCCGGUGUAGCGGUGAAGUGCGUAGAUAUCGGAAGAAACACCUGUGGCGAAAGCGGCUCACUGGACCAUAACUGACGCUGAUGCACGAAAGCUAGGGGAGCAAACAGGAUUAGAUACCCGAGUAGUCCCUGUCUCUUAUAA